GUGGAUUAGAUACCCGGGUAGUCCACGCUGUAAACGAUGGAUACUAGCUGUUUGGUUGUAAGACUGAGUGGCUAAGCGAAAGUGAUAAGUAUCCCACCUGGGGAGUACGAACGCAAGUUUGAAACUCAAAGGAAUUGACGGGGGCCCGCACAAGCGGUGGAGCAUGUGGUUUAAUUCGAUGAUACGCGAGGAACCUUACCAGGGCUUAAAUGUAGUAUGACAGGUUUGGAAACAGACUUUUCUUCGGACAUAUUACAAGGUGCUGCACGGCCGUCGCCAGCU
rnacentral:rRNA from 1 species